GUUUUGCUCUGACUUUUACAAUUUGCAUCUAGUAGACAGUGGUGUGACAAACCACCACUGUCUACUAGAUGCAUACACAAAAUUAUCAUUUAAGUACCUUGA
rnacentral:pre_miRNA from 1 species